AUUGAACGCUGGCGGCAGGCUUAACACAUGCAAGUCGAGCGAGCGGCGGACGGGUGAGUAAUGUCUGGGAAACUGCCUGAUGGAGGGGGAUAACCACGGGAAACGGUAGCUAAUACCGCAUACUAUGAGAUGUGCCCAGAUGGGAUUAGCGAGUAGGUGGGGUAAUGGCUCACCUAGGCGACGAUCCCUAGCUGGUCUGAGAGGAUGAUCAGCCACACUGGGACUGAGACACGGUCCAGACUCCUACGGGAGGCAGCAGUGGGGAAUAUUGCACAAUGGGCGCAAGCCUGAUACAGCCAUGCCGCGUGUAUGAAGAAGGCCUUCGGGUUGUAAAGCACUUUCAGUGGGGAGGCGUUACUCGCAGAAGAAGCACCGGCUAACUCCGUGCCAGCAGCCGCGGUAAUAC
rnacentral:rRNA from 1 species